rnacentral:rRNA from 1 species
ACGUGAUCUGAGUUCAGACCGGAGUAAUCCAGGUCGGUUUCUAUCUAUAAAGAGCCUUUUCCAGUACGAAAGGACCGAAAAAGCACGGCCUAUGUUCUAUGCAAGCCGUAUACAAUAAUUUAUGACUAAAACUCAAUAAAUAUUUUUCUCCUACCACCCUCAAGACAAGAGUA